UAACACGCUCGUCUUUUCCUCCUCCCCUUUUUUUAAUACUUUAUUGGAAUCUUGUACUUCGAAAUGUCGCUAUUCCACUCGAGAUAACGGAAAUAUUAUCGCCGUUUUGUAGGCGAGAACGAACGAGAUGGAGAGAAGAUUUUCUUCUUAAGUUUAAGAACGGCACGACUAAUGUGCUUUUGUCGUUUGUUAUCGAUGGCCGUGCAUCGGUUAAUGGAAGGA